UACGUAGGGGGCAAGCGUUGUCCGGAAUUAUUGGGCGUAAAGAGCGUGUAGGCGGCCAGAUAAGUCCGCUGUGAAAUCUCGAGGCUCAACUUCGAGCUGUCGGUGGAAACUAUCUGGCUAGAGUCCGGAAGAGGAGAAUGGAAUUCCUGGUGUAGCGGUGAAAUGCGCAGAUAUCAGGAAGAACACCCGUGGCGAAGGCGGUUCUCUGGGACGGUACUGACGCUGAGGCACGAAGGUCAGGGGAGCAAACGGG
rnacentral:rRNA from 1 species